rnacentral:rRNA from 1 species
UACGGAGGGGGCUAGCGUUGUUCGGAAUUACUGGGCGUAAAGCGCACGUAGGCGGCUUUGUAAGUUAGAGGUGAAAGCCCAGGGCUUAACCCUGGAAUUGCCUUUAAGACUGCAUCGCUAGAAUCGUGGAGAGGUGAGUGGAAUUCCGAGUGUAGAGGUGAAGUUCGUAGAUAUUCGGAAGAACACCAGUGGCGAAGGCGACUCACUGGCCCGGUACUGACGCUGAGGUGCGAAAGCGUGGGGAGCAAACAGG